rnacentral:rRNA from 1 species
UACGUAGGGGGCGAGCGUUGUCCGGAUUUAUUGGGCGUAAAGAGCUCGUAGGCGGUUUGGCAAGUCGGGUGUGAAACCUCCAGGCUCAACCUGGAGUCGCCACCCGAUACUGCUAUGACUUGAGUCUGGUAGGGGAUCACGGAAUUCCUGGUGUAGCGGUGAAAUGCGUAGAUAUCUGGAGGAACACCGGUGGCGAAGGCGGCAUCCUGGACCGGUAUUGACGCUGAGGCGCGAAAGCCAGGGGAGCAAACGGG